rnacentral:rRNA from 1 species
CGGUGGAGCAUGUGGUUUAAUUCGAAGCAACGCGAGAACCUACCAGGCCUUGACAUGCAGAGAACUUUCCAGAGAUGGAUUGGUGCCUUCGGGAACUCUGACACAGGUGCUGCAUGGCUGUCGUCAGCUCGUGUCGUGAGAUGUUGGGUUAAGUCCCGUAACGAGCGCAACCCUUGUCCUUAGUUACCAGCACGUUAUGGUGGGCACUCUAAGGAGACUGCCGGUGACAAACCGGAGGAAGGUGGGGAUGAUGUCAAGUCAUCAUGGCCCUUACGGCCUGGGCUACACACGUGCUACAAUGGUCGGUACAAAGGGUUGCCAAGCCGCGAGGUGGAGCUAAUCCCAUAAAACCGAUCGUAGUCCGGAUCGCAGUCUGCAACUCGACUGCGUGAAGUCGGAAUCGCUAGUAAUCGUGAAUCAGAAUGUCACGGUGAAUACGUUCCCGGGCCUU